rnacentral:rRNA from 1 species
GACGAACGCUGGCGGCGUGCUUAACACAUGCAAGUCGAACGGAAAGGCCCUGCUUGCAGGGUACUCGAGUGGCGAACGGGUGAGUAACACGUGGGUGAUCUGCCCUGCACUUCGGGAUAAGCCUGGGAAACUGGGUCUAAUACCGGAUAGGAGCCAUUUUUAGUGUGAUGGUUGGAAAGUUUUUUCGGUGUAGGAUGAGCUCGCGGCCUAUCAGCUUGUUGGUGGGGUAAUGGCCUACCAAGGCGGCGACGGGUAGCCGGCCUGAGAGGGUGAACGGCCACAUUGGGACUGAGAUACGGCCCAGACUCCUACGGGAGGCAGCAGUGGGGAAUAUUGCACAAUGGGCGCAAGCCUGAUGCAGCGACGCCGCGUGGGGGAUGACGGCCUUCGGGUUGUAAACUCCUUUCGCUAGGGACGAAGCUUUUUGUGACGGUACCUAGAUAAGAAGCACCGGCUAACUACGUG